AUGCUGAUGCAGCUUCUGAGUCUGAGGAGGAGGAGUAUAUUCCUGAUGUCGAGGAGGAGGAGGGUGAGGAGGAGGAGGCCGAGGAGGAGGAGUCCGAGGAGGAGGAGGAGGGUGGAGGGGAGGUUGACCCCGAGUUGUGGGGUGACUUGCCACCGGGUGCUCCGUAGGGGUGGCUGCGUGGUAAUGCCGGAGUACCUACACCACCUUCUAUCGAGGUGCACAAGUGGCUCAUUGAACCUGCGGGGACAGAUAACUGGAUCCUUCACGGAAAGGGCCGUAAACCGAACGACCUUCUCACUGUCCUGUUGA
rnacentral:rRNA from 1 species